GCCGGGUCGACCCAUUGGGUAGUUGGCCCGGCCCACGAGAGCAAGGCUAAUGGGCCAUGAGAGCCGGCCUCAAAUCAGAUCAGGGGCCAUGAAAGUCUGAACCUAUUGACCCAAUGGGUAAGUUGGGUCAACCCAAAACAAUCUGAGGCAUGAGAGAGGUCGGGACUCGGGAGCCUGCAUGGUGGCGAGCGACCUGGCGGCGGUGGCGACCGUAGUGGUGGCGGCUCGGCGCGCCUCGCUGGCCUCCGGCGGCGACGGAUCCGAGCACCGCGCUCCCUUCCAGCGGUUGUCCCGUCAGGUAAGGUUCUCUUCCAGCGGCUGUCCCGUCAGGUGAGGAGGCUAUAGAAGCAAGCCCCUGAUCUAGAACAAAUUCAGUUGUUGGGGAUUCAAUUGUUGGCUUGGGCUAGUUGCUUGUUAUGGCACAAAUUCAGUUUGUAUUUGAGCAGUAGAUUCAAUCGCUUGUGAUCUGGAACAAAUUCAGUUGCUGGGGAUUCAAUUGUUGGCUGGGGCUAGUUGCUUGUUGUGGCACAAAUUCAGUUUGUAUUUAAGCUGCAGAUUCAAUCGCUUGCUAUUAGAUACUUGUAAUAAUCAUAAUUUUAUUAUGUGUCAUUUACAUCUUCAUUGGGUAAUUAUUGUUGCAAUAUUCGGUAUA